rnacentral:rRNA from 1 species
AGAAUCAACGCUGGCGGCGUGCCUAACACAUGCAAGUCGAACGAGAAAGUGGAGCAAUCCAUAAGUAAAGUGGCGCACGGGUGAGUAACACGUGACUAACCUACCCUGGAGUGGGGAAUAACUGAGGGAAACCUUAGCUAAUACCGCAUAACACCUACGGGUCAAAGGAGCAAUUCGCUUUGGGAGGGGGUCGCGGCAGAUUAGCUAGUUGGCGGGGUAAUGGCCCACCAAGGCGAUGAUCUGUA